AGAGCGAACGCUGGCGGCAGGCCUAACACAUGCAAGUCGAGCGCGUGUAGCAAUACACGAGCGGCAGACGGGAGAGUAACACGUGGGAACGCGCCCUUCGGUUCGGAAUAACUCAGGGAAACUUGAGCUAAUACCGGAUACGCCCUUACGGGGAAAGAUUUAUUGCCGAAGGAACGGCCCGCGUCCGAUUAGCUAGUUGGUGAGGUAACGGCUCACCAAGGCGACGAUCGGUAGCUGGUCUGAGAGGAUGACCAGCCUCACUGGGACUGAGACACGGCCCAGACUCCUACGGGAGGCAGCAGUGGGGAAUAUUGGACAAUGGGCGCAAGCCUGAUCCAGCCAUGCCGCGUGGAUGAUGAAGGCCUUAGGGUUGUAAAGUCCUUUAACGGGGAAGAUAAUGACGGUACCCGUAGAAUAAGCCCCGGCUAACUUCGUGCCAGCAGCCGC
rnacentral:rRNA from 1 species